AUUGAACGCUGGCGGCAUGCCUUACACAUGCAAGUCGAACGGCAGCACGGGAGCAAUCCUGGUGGCGAGUGGCGAACGGGUGAGUAAUAUAUCGGAACGUGCCCAGUCGUGGGGGAUAACGCAGCGAAAGCUGUGCUAAUACCGCAUACGAUCUACGGAUGAAAGCGGGGGAUCGCAAGACCUCGCGCGAUUGGAGCGGCCGAUAUCAGAUUAGCUAGUUGGUGGGGUAAAGGCCCACCAAGGCGACGAUCUGUAGCUGGUCUGAGAGGACGACCAGCCACCCUGGAACUGAGACACGGUCCAGACUCCUACGGGAGGCAGCAGUGGGGAAUUUUGGACAAUGGGCGCAAGCCUGAUCCAGCAAUGCCGCGUGCAGGAUGAAGGCCUUCGGGUUGUAAACUGCUUUUGUACGGAACGAAACGGCCCUUUCUAAUACAGGGGGCUAAUGACGGUACCGUAAGAAUAAGCACCGGCUAACUACGUGCCAGCCGCCGCCGUAAAAC
rnacentral:rRNA from 1 species